rnacentral:lncRNA from 10 species
AGAAGCAGCUGCAGCUGGGCCUGGAGGCAGUGGCUCUACAGCAGCAGUGAGAGCCGAGCUGUGGCAGACACAUGCUCUUCCCCUGACUCACGGCUGCCCAGUUCCCUCCAGCGAGGCUGCUGACCUAUUUUUCUAUUAGGAACAACCAGCCAAUGUGAUAAUGAGGAAAAUGUAUUCUGGCCCCUAUGAAGUUUAGUGAAGCCCGAAUGAAGUGGAGGAGGCCACGGAGAUGCACGAGGAAGAGCAUUCCAGGCAGAGGGAACAGCGAGGACAAAAGCCCCCGGGCAGGAAUGGGUGUGCAAGCCUGAGAUCCAACAUGGCGGAGAGCAAGCCGGAAGUGCUGCGCGGGGAUCCUAAGGGAGCACUGAACAGGACAAGCUCAGUUUUGUCCCUCAAACCUCCACAAUCAGCUAUUUUACAUAAGGAAAGUGGGUGGUGAUUAACCUCAGAGUCUCCAGGGACAGACUAUCCAGGACUGUGCCUGAAAUAGAAGAGGAAUUAACAUCAUACAGAACUGAAUACGGUGACUGAGGGGAGUUUGUGUCUCCCCUUUUAGGAAAGAAGAUGAGAAUAAGUAUGAAGGAGAGUCAUGUACUGUACAUUAAGCAAAAGCAUGAUGCUGUUAUUUGAAAUGUUAAUUAGAGGUGCCCACUAAAAACUGCUCAGCAAUUUUCUUGGAGACCUCAGUGCUCAUGUUAUUCUUUCCUCUAUCUUAUGUUUUCCUCUCUCCUGCCCUUUUCAGAAACAGUCUACAGCAGAAGCCAUUGACCCUGUUCAAAUUACAGAAGAGCCCUUUUUGAAUUUAUGAAAAUCCUGAAAUAUUAAAAUUUAUUAUUUUAAUAUUAAUAUAUUAAAUUAAUAUAUUAAUCUACCCGCCUCGGCCUCCCAAAGUGCUGGUAUUACGGGCAUGAGCCACCGAACCCAGCCUCAUGUUAUGACUUUCCAACCAUAAUUUAGUGUUAACAAAGUAAUCACAAAAGUAAUAUAUUAGUUUGAAAUUAGUAAUGCCCACCAGAUUCAAUCACUAAAAAAUGUGAUAUCAUUAAAAACCAUUUUUCUACAUGUUAACAAGAGCCAACUUCUGUCCCAAGCAGGUUGAAUUAUCACAAUUUCCUGAUAAGCAGAGUCCAGCUUCCUAAUUCAAACUCUCAAACUCAUUGUUAAAUAAGCCCAGAGGAGUUGGACAUUUUCCAUCACGCAUGUGGGAAGAAAGAAGGCCAACGAUGCUCUUCAGAUUUAACAAGUAAACCUUAAAAGUAUCUGUUAAGAAUACAGAGAUGCCCAUGACAACACUAUCACCAGAGCAACAACUAUCAACUAAGGGGGUUGCCUCUGCUUUGCUGGUGCCCUAAGUGUGUGCUCAAACUAUAUGGUGGAUGCUCCAGCCUGGGGUAAGGGUGUUUUGGGCAGAGGGAGGAGAACAUGAAAAUAAGUUAAACAGCAAGAUUAGGUACACUUGGAUGGGUAGAAACCAGAGGGAGAAUGGUGAGACACGAUGCUGGAAGGCUGA